GUGAAUGUUAUAUGGACACAAGAAUCUGGAAGAUGUUCACAGGUGAACGCUGAACACCUUUCUCAGAUUGAACAUCAUUGUAGCUGCACCCAAGAAAAUCCUAUCAUGAUCCUGCAGUGUUUGCAUUUGGCCAAUUAUCUGCAAAAGCAAGUGAAAUCCCCUGCCACACUGUGGUG